GGUGGUUCAGUGGUAGAGUGCUUGCCCUGCAUGCAAGAGGCCCUGGGUUCAAUACCUCAGCACCA
rfam:Dipodomys ordii contig_11086, whole genome shotgun sequence.